rnacentral:rRNA from 1 species
CUCCGGUUGAUCCCGCCCGACCCGACUGCUAUCAGAGUGGGACUAAGCCAUGCGAGUCAACAUAGCAAUAUGUGGCAUACGGCUCAGUAACACGUAGUCAACAUGCCCAGGGGACGUGGAUAACCUCGGGAAACUGAGGAUAAACCGCGAUAAGUCACUACUUCUGGAAUGGGUAAUGACUCAAAUCUACAUGGCCCCUGGAUUGGACUGCGGCCGAUCAGGCUGUUGGUGAGGUAAUGGCCCACCAAACCUGUAACCGGUACGGGCUCUGAGAGGAGGAGCCCGGAGAUGGGCACUGAGACAAGGGCCCAGGCCCUAUGGGGCGCAGCAGGCGCGAAACCUCUGCAAUAGGCGAAACCCUGACAGGGUUACUCUGAGUGAUUUCCGUUAAGGAGAUCUUUUGGCACCUCUAAAAAUGGUGCAGAAUAAGGGGUGGGCAAGUCUGGUGUCAGCCGCCGCGGUAAUACCAGCACCCCGAGUGGUCGGGACGUUUAUUGGGCCUAAAGCAUCCGUAGCCGGUUCUACAAGUCUUCCGUUAAAUCCACCUGCUUAACAGAUGGGCUGCGGAAGAUACUAUAGAGCUAGGAGGCGGGAGAGGCAAGCGGUACUCGAUGGGUAGGGGUAAAAUCCGUUGAUCCAUUGAAGACCACCAGUGGCGAAGGCGGCUUGCCAGAACGCGCUCGACGGUGAGGGAUGAAAGCUGGGGGAGCAAACCGGAUUAGAUACCCGGGUAGUCCCAGCUGUAAACGAUGCAGACUCGGUGAUGAGUUGGCUUAUUGCUAACUCAGUGCCGCAGGGAAGCCGUUAAGUUUGCCGCCUGGGGAGUACGGUCGCAAGACUGAAACUUAAAGGAAUUGGGCGGGGGAGCA